AUGAGAAGUUCAAGACAGGGUGGCAGUGGCGGCGGUGGAGGUGGAGGUGCAGUCCCGGAGCAGGAGGACUCGGUGCUAUUCCGGUGAGGUACAGGCCAGAGUGAUGAUUCUGACAUUUGGGACAAGACGGCAUUGAUAAAAGCUUAUGAUAAAGCUGUGGCUUCAUUUAAGCAUGCUCUAAAGAAUGGCGACAAUUGUGAAACUUCAGAUAAACCAAAAGGCACACCUAGAAGAAAACCUGCUAAGAAGAAUAAAAGCCAAAAAAAGAAUACUGCAACACCCUUGAAACAGUGGAAAUUUGGUGACAAAUGUUCUGCCAUUUGGUUGGAAGAUGGUUGCGUUUACCCAGCUACCAUUGCCUCAGUUGAUUUUCAGAGAGAAACCUGUGUUGUGGUUUACACUAGAUAUGGAAAUAGAGUGGAGCAAAAUCUGUCUGAUCUACUUUCCCCAACCUCUGAAGUAACUAAUAAUAUAGAACGGAAUGCUCAAGAGAAUGAAAAUGAAAGUCAAGUUUCAACAGAUGAAAGUGAGAACUCCAGGUCUCCUGGAAAGAAAUCAAAUAACAUCAAGUCAAAAACUACUCCAUGGAACUCUUUUCUCCCUCCGCCUCCCCCCAUGCCAGGGUCAGGACUGGGACUAGGAAAGCCAGGUUUAAAAUUCAAUGGCCCACCACCACCACACUUCCUGUCAUGCUGGCUGCCUCUAUUUCCUUGUGCACCACCAAUAAUUCCCCCACCACCUCCCAUAUGUCCGGAUUCUCUUGAUGAUACUGAUGCUUUGAGAAGUAUGUUAAUCUCUUGGUACAUGAGUGGCUAUCACACUGGCUAUUAUAUGGGUUUUAGACAAAAUCAAAAAGAAGGACGGUAUUCACAUUCCAGUUACAGAGUAAAAAGUUCCAUCAUUAUAAAAGUUAAUCUUACUUUUGUAUAA